rnacentral:lncRNA from 1 species
UACUGAAGUAACAUCUUCAUUCCACAAAUAAUAAAAGAGUGCAUACAUUGUGGUACAAAAAUUACUUAAUAUUGAUCAUGAACAACAUACCAAAAUACUACUGCAGCCUGUAACAAAAGCAUGCAAAAAACUAAAAAGAGUUCGAUGAUAUUUAAGGUUUUUUCUUCCUCAAGCAGUUAGUCAUCCAGUAAGGCUUAUCCUUCCUUUUAGUGCAUGAUGUUUCACUAACUUUGUCCUUAUUUUUUUUUAGAACAUCAUUUAAAUCAGGGGUUGUCUUUGGAGUCGGUAUGGGGUCUUUGAUGACCACACCAGGUGCUGCAGGUCUCCUCACCGGUAACUUGGGCCUGCAUGUGCCACUCUGUUUAUUCACUGUGGUGUUCUGAUCAUAAGUAUUUUCAGCUUGUGCAUCAUUCUCUUGUUGUGCAUUUCUUUGUUGGUCAUGCCUAGUAGGACAAGUUGUCUUCUUAUGUCCAGGCUUCUUACAUAGACUGCAGUGCAUUACUUUACCUCCCCUAUAUUUCUGUAAAUCCGGG